UCUACAUCGAGGCUUCUUACUCGAGAGAACUCGUUCCCUUCUCCGCCGCAAACAUGAGGCUUCUUCACCGCCGUUUCUUUAUCUUCACCGAUGGAAUUUUCGGAGCCAACAGGCGAGGAUACGCCACCAAUUAUGUUGCCAAGGUCACUUCAUCAUCUCCCUCCGGGCGAUCUCUCUCCGCCGAAGUUUCCCUUCCUAAUCCCCUCCCCUCCGACAUACGCGGCUACCCUCUCCCUCGCCGUCACCUCAUCUGCCGAGCAACCAAUCUCCUUCUCCGCCACGAAACCUCUUCCGAUCCCUUCUCCGAGCUCUCCGAUUACCUCUCUUCCCUCUCACUCUCCCUAACUCCCGACGAAGCUUCAGAGAUUCUCAAAUCCCUAAACUGCCCUCGCCUGGCCGUCGAUUUCUUCCACUUCGUCCCCUCCGUGUGCCCUAGCUCUCACCACGACCCGUUCCUCUACAACCGCAUCAUCUUGAUCCUCUCCAAGUCUAACCUCCCCGACAGAUUCGAUCGCGUCCGUUCGAUUCUCGAUCUGAUGGUGAAGUCUAACGUACGUGGCAACAUCUCCACCGUUAAUAUCUUAAUAGGUUUCUUCGGGAACGCGGAAGAUUUAGAAAUGUGCUUAGGGCUGGUGAAGAAAUGGGAGUUAAAGAUGAACUCUUUCACAUACAAGUGUCUCCUUCAAGCUUACUUAAGGUCUCGUGAUUCUUCGAAAGCAUUCGAUGUGUACUGCGAGAUUAGAAGAGGAGGGCAUAAGCUCGACGUCUUCGCUUACAAUAUGUUGCUUGAUGCUUUAGCUAAAGAUGAAAAGAUUGAUCAGGCAUGCCAAGUUUUCGAAGACAUGAUGAGAAAGCAUUGUAGAGGAGAUGAGUAUUCCUACACGAUUAUGAUCAGGACAAUGGGAAGAAUUGGGAAGUACAAUAAAGCUGUUGAUCUAUUCAAUGAGAUGAUAACUGAAGGGCUUACUCUCAACGUGGUUGGUUACAAUACUCUUAUGCAAGUUCUCGCAAAAGGAAAGAUGGUUGAUAAGGCUAUUCAGGUUUUCUCCAAGAUGGUUGAAACGGGUUGUCGUCCCAACGAGUAUACGUACAGUCUGGUUUUGAAUCUUUUAGUAGCUGUAGGUCAGCUUGUGAAGUUAGAUGGGAUUGUGGAGAUGUCCAAGAGGUAUAUGACUCAGGGGAUAUAUUCUUAUUUGGUUAGAACGCUGAGUAAACUAGGGCAUGUGAGUGAGGCUCACCGGCUGUUUUGUGAUAUGUGGAGCUUCCCUGUGAAAGGACAGAGGGAUAGUUACAUGUCGAUGCUUGAGAGUUUAUGCGGUGCGGGUAAAACAGUUGAAGCUAUAGAGAUGUUGAGCAAGAUCCAUGAGAAAGGUGUGGUUACGGAUACCAUGAUGUACAACACCGUGUUCUCUGCGCUUGGGAAGCAAAAGCAAGUAUCUCAUAUUCAUGAUCUCUUCGAGAAAAUGAAAAAAGAUGGUCCGUGUCCAGACAUAUUCACGUAUAAUAUACUCAUCUCUAGUUUUGGUCGUGUGGGAGAAGUUGAUGAAGCUAUCAAAAUCUUCGAGGAGCUUGAGAGUAGUGACUGUAAACCGGACAUUGUUUCGUACAACUCUUUGAUUAAUUGCUUGGGGAAGAACGGUGAUGUUGAUGAAGCUCACCUGAGGUUCAAGGAGAUGCAGGAGAGAGGAUUAAACCCUGAUGUGGUCACAUACAGCACUCUGAUGGAAUGCUUUGGGAAGACGGAGAGAGUCGAAAUGGCGUAUAGAUUGUUCGAAGAGAUGCUUGUUAAAGGGUGUCAACCGAACAUUGUGACGUACAACAUAUUACUUGAUUGUCUAGAGAAGAGUGGAAGAACCGCUGAAGCAGUUGAUAUGUACACGAGGAUGAAACAGCAAGGACUCACACCUGAUUCCAUUACUUACAGUGUUCUUGAACGGUUGCAGUCUGGCUCUCAUGGAAAGUCACGGAUUCGUAGGAAGAAUCCGAUAACAGGUUGGGUGGUCAGUCCUCUGUAGCCACGUGAAGUAGUGAAACAAGGUUUUGAGAAAGAUACUUGGCUGGAGAAUGAAAACUCCAGAUUUUAUUGAGGCUUUUUCAGUGAACUCUGUACAAACACCGUCUUCUCCGUAGUGUGAUGAUCAGGUGUGUGUUCUACUUGGUUCUCCGAGCUCUUGAUACUAUCUUUUCAGAUUUGGACAUAAAUCACAACUAGACAGAAAGAAUGGCUAAUGAUAUGGUUAGGUGGUACAUGGAUGAUGAUGAUGAUGAGGACGAUGUGCUUAAGCCAGAGAGAUUACUUCAAAGAACAGAUCGAGGUGCUGGAUGGCAUCAUGUUCAGCAGUUUAUGCACGGGUCAGAUGAUGAUCGAUACUGGCCAUUUUUUAAAGAUUGUAUUGGAGCAUUGGAUGGAACUCAUAUCUCAGUUCGCCCACCGAAGCGAAAUGCCGAAGCAUACAGGGGUAGAAAACAGGAGCCGACCAUGAAUGUCCUUGCUAUAUGUAACUUUGAUAUGAAGUUCAUAUAUGCUUUUGUGGGUGUCCCGGGUAGAGCACAUGACACAAAGGUAUUGACUUAUUGUGCGAGGAAUGAGCCCUUUUUUCCACAUCCUCCAAAUGGAAAGUAUUAUUUGGUUGAUGCUGGAUAUCCCACAAGAACAGGGUAUCUUGGUCCGUAUCGUAGAGUUCGGUAUCAUCUCGAUCAGUUCAACAGAGGAGGACCGCCAACGAACACUCGAGAGGUGUUCAACCGGAGACAUUCAAGCAUGCGAUCUGUGAUUGAGCGGACAUUUGGAGUGUGGAAAGCAAAAUGGAGAAUUCUUGACCGUAGGCAUCCAAAGUAUGGUUUGAUCAAAUGGAUAAAGCUAGUAACAUCAACGAUGACUCUACACAACUUCAUACGUGAUUCACAUCGAGAAGAUAAUGAUUUUGUGCGUUGGCAAAGAAGAGAAGAAUAUCAUACACAUGGUGAUGAUGAUGAUGAUGAAAAUGAAGAUGAAGAAGAAAAAGAAGAAGAUGGUGAUGGUCAUGGUGGACAUAUUCCAUAUGAGCCGACUGGUGAUAGAGCCAUGGAAGGUUUACGUGAUCAUAUUGGUAAUGAGUUGAGUAGAGGAUAUCGAUUACCUUACUAGAUUAUUUGAUUUGAGUUUAUACUGAUUUUUAUUAUUAGUUACUCGUAUGACCACUUUCCCUAUUGUUUAAAUAGAAAUCUUUGUAACAAUUGUGAGAGAAUUUCUGAUUUAGACCAGGGAUUUUCUUAAUAAGGAAACUCUUAUAAUAA